AUGCCAUGGUGUGGGCAUUUCAUCAACAGCUCUUUGAACGUUUCCACGCGUCAAGAACAGCCUCAUCGUUCAUUUGUUUGAAAAGACAAAUCUCGUUCCUGGACUU